GUAGUCAUAUGCUUGUCUCAAAGAUUAAGCCAUGCAUGUCUAAGUAUAAGCAAUCAUACUGUGAAACUGCGAAUGGCUCAUUAAAUCAGUUAUAGUUUAUUUGAUAGUACCUUUACCUGGAUAACUGUGGUAAUUCUAGAGCUAAUACAUGCUAAAAACCCCGACUUUGGGAGGGGUGGUAAUUUAUUAGAUAAAAAACCAAAUGCCUUCGGGCUCCUUGGUGAUUCAUAAUAACUUAACGAAUCGCAUGGCCUUGCGCCGGCGAUGGUUCAUUCAAAUUUCUGCCCUAUCAACUUUCGAUGGUAAGGUAGUGGCUUACCAUGGUUUCAACGGGUAACGGGGAAUUAGGGUUCUAUUCCGGAGAGGGAGCCUGAGAAACGGCUACCACAUCCAAGGAAGGCAGCAGGCGCGCAAAUUACCCAAUCCCAAUCCGGGGAGGUAGUGACAAUAAAUACUGAUACGGGGCUCUUUCGGGUCUCGUAAUUGGAAUGAGUACAAUCUAAAUCCCUUAACGAGGAACAAUUGGAGGGCAAGUCUGGUGCCAGCAGCC
rnacentral:rRNA from 1 species